AGACCCGAAACCCGGUGAUCUAGCCAUGGGCAGGUUGAAGGUUGGGUAACACUAACUGGAGGACCGAACCGACUAAUGUUGAAAAAUUAGCGGAUGACCUGUGGCUGGGGGUGAAAGGCCAAUCAAACCGGGAGAUAGCUGGUUCUCCCCGAAAGCUAUUUAGGUAGCGCCUCGUGAAUUCAUCUCCGGGGGUAGAGCACUGUUUCGGCUAGGGGGCCAUCCCGGCUUACCAACCCGAUGCAAACUGCGAAUACCGGAGAAUGUUAUCACGGGAGACACACGGCGGGUGCUAACGUCCGUCGUGAAGAGGGAAACAACCCAGACCGCCAGCUAAGGUCCCAAAGUCAUGGUUAAGUGGGAAACGAUGUGGGAAGGCCCAGACAGCCAGGAUGUUGGCUUAGAAGCAGCCAUCAUUUAAAGAAAGCGUAAUAGCUCACUGGUCGAGUCGGCCUGCGCGGAAGAUGUAACGGGGCUAAACCAUGCACCGAAGCUGCGGCAGCGACGCUUAUGCGUUGUUGGGUAGGGGAGCGUUCUGUAAGCCUGCGAAGGUGGCCUGUGAGGGUUGCUGGAGGUAUCAGAAGUGCGAAUGCUGACAUAAGUAACGAUAAAGCGGGUGAAAAGCCCGCUCGCCGGAAGACCAAGGGUUCCUGUCCAACGUUAAUCGGGGCAGGGUGAGUCGACCCCUAAGGCGAGGCCGAAAGGCGUAGUCGAUGGGAAACGGGUUAAUAUUCCCGUACUUGGUGUUACUGCGAAGGGGGGACGGAGAAGGCUAUGUUGGCCGGGCGACGGUUGUCCCGGUUUAAGCGUGUAGGUGUGUGUUCCAGGUAAAUCCGGUUCACUUUAACACUGAGGCGUGACGACGAGGCACUACGGUGCUGAAGCAACAAAUGCCCUGCUUCCAGGAAAAGCCUCUAAGCAUCAGGUAACAUCAAAUCGUACCCCAAACCGACACAGGUGGUCAGGUAGAGAAUACCAAGGCGCUUGAGAGAACUCGGGUGAAGGAACUAGGCAAAAUGGUGCCGUAACUUCGGGAGAAGGCACGCUGACACGUAGGUGAAGUGAUUUACUCAUGGAGCUGAAGUCAGUCGAAGAUACCAGCUGGCUGC
rnacentral:rRNA from 1 species